ACAUUACGUUCGAAGGAUCGAUUGGCUUUGGUGACGAUGAAGAACGUUGCAGAUUGCGAUAUUGAGUGAGAAUAGCGUUAUUCAGCUCGUGUUCGAAUUAUAGAUGAUAUCUAUGAUAACUCCUUGGGCUUAAGCAUAUCAUUAGAGGAAGGAGAAGAAAAUAACGAUGAUUUCGAUAGUAGCGGCGAGCGAAGUUGAAAUAGCCCUGAUGGUAAAGGAGAAAUCCUGUUGUGAAGGGAAGCGUGAAAUGUUAUGGAAUGAACAUUCAUAGAGGGUGAUAUACCUGUAUGCAUGCUACUAUAAUUGAGUAGCACUGUUUGGUAGUGCAGUGUGAAAGGGUGGUUGUGAGCAUUCAAGGCUAAAUACGAUCAAAGACCGAUAGCGAAUAAGUACUGUGAAGGAAGCAACCUGCUGUGAUGGUAGGGAAGUGAAAUCGAGCGUAAGGAAGGCGACGAGUCGCA
rnacentral:rRNA from 1 species